rnacentral:misc_RNA from 1 species
GAGAGUUGAUAUUGAUGCUGGCCAGGAAGAAGCUGCAGUAAAUAGAAUCUUGGAAGAACUGGCUAGGGAAAUGCAUGCAUCAGUUGGUGUAAGAAUGCACAGGUUAAAUGUUUGUGAGUGGGAAGUGAAGCUCUGGAUGUCAUCAUCUGGACAAGCAAAUGGUGCUUGGAGAGUUGUCAUCACAAAUGUAACUGGUCACACCUGUGCUGUACAUAUAUACCGGGAACUAGAGGAUACCUGCAAACGAGGAGUGGUGUACCAUUCGAUCUCUGUACAUGGUCCUC